GGACGGCGCAACGGUUUACGCAGCGCCGGUCAGGUGGUCGGCCCGACCGUCCGGCUUCGGCGAAUACAUUGCAAGGUCCGGUAAAGCGGGGAGUAGCGGCAGCGCCGUCGAAACCCGCGACCGGC
rnacentral:sRNA from 1 species